rnacentral:rRNA from 1 species
GAUGAACGCUGGCGGCGUGCUUAACACAUGCAAGUCGAACGAGAAUCAACGGAUUGAGGAUUCGUCCAAAUGAAGUUGAGGAAAGUGGCGGACGGGUGAGUUAACGCGUGAGGAACCUGCCUCGGAGUGGGGAAUAACAGUUGGAAACAGCUGCUAAUACCGCAUAAUGCAACGGAAUCGCAUGACCUCUGUUGCCAAAGAUUUAUCGCCCUGAGAUGGCCUCGCGUCUGAUUAGCUAGUUGGCGGGGUAACGGCCCACCAAGGCGACGAUCAGUAGCCGGUCUGAGAGGAUGAACGGCCACAUUGGGACUGAGACACGGCCCAG